GAUGAACGCUGGCGGCGUGCCUAAUACAUGCAAGUCGAGCGAACAGACGAGGAGCUUGCUCCUCUGACGUUAGCGGCGGACGGGUGAGUAAAACGUGGAUAACCUACCUAUAAGACUGGGAUAACUUCGGGAAACCGGAGCUAAUACCGGAUAAUAUAUUGAACCGCAUGGUUCAAUAGUGAAAGACGGUUUUGCUGUCACUUAUAGAUGGAUCCGCGCCUCAUUAGCUAGUUGGUAAGGUAACGGCUUACCAAGGCAACGAUGCGUAGCCGACCUGAGAGUGUGAUCGACCACACUGGAACUGAGACACGGUCCAGACUCCUACGGGAGGCAGCAGUAGGGAAUCUUCCGCAAUGGGCGAAAGCCUGACGGAGCAACGCCGCGUGAGUGAUGAAGGUCUUCGGAUCGUAAAACUCUGUUAUUAGGGAAGAACAAAUGUGUAAGUAACUAUGCACGUCUUGACGGUACCUAAUCAGAAAGCCACGGCUAACUACGUG
rnacentral:rRNA from 1 species